rnacentral:tRNA from 1 species
GGCUCGUUGGGGUAUGAUCCUCGCUUCAGGUGCGAGAGGUCCCGGGUUCAAAUCCCGGACGAGCCC